UCAGAGCCCAGCCUGUGCCCAGAUGUAUUUCCUUCAUCCAUCAACCAGCUGUUCCUUCAGCUCACCACUGCUGCUAGCGCUGCCGAAACAAGCUGCCAGGAGCUCUUCAGUUUAACCACGGGGUUAUUUACAGCUGCUUUGAGGAUACCAUAGAUAAAAUCUAUCUAUGGCCCUGGGAUAGACUCAGUGGAGAAGAUGCCUCGGAGGCAGGGAUGCUGCUGCUCUGGUUGGGAUUAGCAUCUGUGUGGCGGUCUGCAGGAGGAUGGUUUGUGUCUCAGCUGCAGCACUUAUUGGAGAUGACGGGACAGAAGCUGCUGGGUCCCCGCUGACCUCCCCACCAGUGGCAGUGAUGUGCUGCAGCACAACAUGACCCAGGCAAAGGGUUUCACCAUGCUGUGAUGGAAGCUCUCUGCUCACUCUGCUCCACACAGGCUGACUUUUUGCACCACGCACCGCCAGCAGCAGCCCGCCUGCCCCAACACGACUUUGCAACUGUCCCUGCCUCUGCUGAAGUCUUCAGUAUACACUGAUGCACAACCUGCUAUAA
ensembl:lncRNA